GCACAAGCAGUGGAGUAUGUGGUUUAAUUCGACGCAACGCGAAGAACCUUACCUGGACUAGAAUGUGAGGGAAUGUCGGGUAAUGCCGGCAGUCCGGGAAACCGGACCCAAAACAAGGUGCUGCAUGGCUGUCGUCAGCUCGUGUCGUGAGAUGUUGGGUUAAGUCCCGCAAACGAAGCGCAACCCUUAUCAACAAGUUGCCAUCA
rnacentral:rRNA from 1 species